ACCCGGGGGAGGGGUGAGGGGACGUCCACGGCUUCUCUCCCUUCCCUGCCAGCGCAGUUCUGGUUCUGGGGCGGGGGUCCUCCCUGCAGCCCCACGCUGAGACCACCCCCUCCCCGCACGCACUGGGCGUGCGGGCAAGGUCAGGAGGGCUUCUGUAGUUUUCCCCUUGGUCCCUGGGCCGUCCUAGGCCGGAAUUUCCAGGGGCCCACACCCAGAGGGAGGACCCUCCGCCCCGCCCCGCCCCGCCAUCGUUCGGCUGUGGUUUGGGAAGCGGGGAGAUGACUCAUUGUAAAGGAAGAGGAAACCCAGCGCUGCGCGAGAGGAAGUUCAGGCACCAGGCGUUCUCGGUAUUUGCAGGCCGGCUCCUCGCGGUAUCACUGCGCGCUGCUGUAGGGUUGUGGUGCUCACUGGAGCAAAGCCGCUGCGUGGCUGAGGUGUGAGUUGCGAGGUGUCUGGAUCCCUGCCUGAGAAAGUCUUGGACCAGGUUGUGGAGAGAGGGCUCCUCCAGCCUUGGGAUGAAAGCCCCAGGCUUGCUAUGACGUCCCCAGGGCAGGACCUGUGCUCAUUACUUAAGUUCUCUUGGAAGCUACCCUCCAUUUUUCUGUAGGUUUAUACUUUGUGAGCCUGCAAUUACUGGAACAGAAUACCGGCUCGGAGAAACAAAAAACCUGUUUCCUGCCAUCUGACUCCCCAAAUAAAUCCAUCAAUCCCAAACUUGAUUAGCUGGAAUUAUAGUUCCUUUUCUUUCAACUCACAGGGGCUCUGACACUCCUAGUAACAGCUGUGACAGUUAGGAACAGCAUGUGCUAUUCGCCAGACACUCAGCUCUGCUUGCAAAGUUCCUAAGGUGGAAGCCUGGGUGCUCCUGGAGCACCCACUGCUUAGGACAGAAAUUCCUAAGACUGUACCAUAGAUGGAGACUUUGAACAACCCUGGGGACUUCAGCAAAUGGAGACAAACAUGGCACCUGCUAAACACAUACUCAGACUAAACAUCUACUUUAAGGUUUAUCAACAUCUUAAGGGCAGGUUGCAACUAGCAAAUGCGUGGUUGGAGUUCUGUUUAAAUACCAGCAGGCCGUUUGCGGAGGAGACUGGCAAAGCUUACAUUCCUGGGAGAAAGUCCCCUCUGGAUGCAGCAAGCCAAACUGAAAUGUAAACAUUUUUGAAGUUUUUAAAUUUCUCAGAAACUUGUC